CAGUAGCCGCGGGAAUACAGAGGGUGCGAGCGUUAAUCGGAUUUACUGGGCGUAAAGCGUGCGUAGGCGGCUUCUUAAGUCGGAUGUGAAAUCCCUGAGCUUAACUUAGGAAUUGCAUUCGAUACUGGGAAGCUAGAGUAUGGGAGAGGAUGGUAGAAUUCCAGGUGUAGCGGUGAAAUGCGUAGAGAUCUGGAGGAAUACCGUUGGCGAAGGCAGCCAUCUGGCCUAAUACUGACGCUGAGGUACGAAAGCAUGGGGAGCAAACAGGAUUAGAUACCCCGGUAGUCCCUGUCUCUUAUAC
rnacentral:rRNA from 1 species